rnacentral:rRNA from 1 species
UCAUUAGUGAAUUAUCGAGAUACCACUCUGUGGAUCUCAAACCUCACCUAUAUCCACAAACACCUGUGCACUGUUGGUCAGAUGGAGCGAUGUCGACUUCGGUUGACAGAGCUUUUCAUCUGCCAGCGCAUUUAUACCAAACUCUGAGUUAAUUGAAUGUGAAGUUAUACUUGCCUAUUUUGGCAGAAUUAAACAUAACUUUCGACAACGGAUCUCUUGGUUCUCCCAUCGAUGAAGAACGCAGCGAAACGCGAUAGGUAAUGUGAAUUGCAGAAUUCAGUGAAUCAUCGAAUCUUUGAACGCACCUUGCGCUCCUUGGUAUUCCGAGGAGCAUGCCUGUUUGAGUGUCAUGAAUCCCUCAAAUCCCAAUGUUUUGUAAAAUUCAUUGCUUGGAUUUGGUUGUGGGCCUUUGCUGCUUAACCGUAGCUGGCCUCAAAGAGAUUAGCUGGACUAUCCGACUCUUGGUAGUUUCCACUUGAUGUGAUAAAUUUGCAUCGGUGGGUCAAUGACUGCUUAAGGAACGAGAAGUCUGCUUCGAACCCGGCGAGAAGUUCUACUUCGACCCAUUCUUUACAUCUCUGGCCUCAAAUCAGG